GCCUACUGUGCUGAUACUGAUGAUAGUGUGGACCAUGAUAACUUUGUAGUGGUUGCUGGAGAAUGGGAUUUGAAUACUGUGGAAGAUUCAGAACAGGUUCGCCAUGUUGAACGUGUAUUCCGGCAUCCGUACUUUAGUGCACAGCAGAGCUGUGAUAUUGCUCUGAUCAGGUUGGCUACCCCCUUGAAUAUGACUGGGUUGAGUGUAGUUCCACUAGCUACGGAUGGAGAGGAGUUUUCAGGAGAAUUUAUUGAACUAGGCUGGUCACAGCUGGCAGG